GCCGGGGUCGCCUAGGCUGGUCUAUGGCGCUGGACUAUCAUUCCAGUUAUCGUGGGUUCAAAUCCCACCCCCGGCA
rnacentral:tRNA from 1 species